AAUGAACGCUGGCGGCAUGCCUAACACAUGCAAGUCGAACGAGAUCCUUCGGGGUCUAGUGGCGCACGGGUGCGUAACGCGUGGGAAUCUACCCUUGGGUUCGGAAUAACAGUGAGAAAUUACUGCUAAUACCGGAUGAUGACGAAAGUCCAAAGAUUUAUCGCCCAGGGAUGAGCCCGCGUAAGAUUAGCUAGUUGGUGGGUAAAGGCCUACCAAGGCGACGAUCUUUAGCGGUCUGAGAGGAUGAUCAGCCACACUGGGACUGAGACACGGCCCAGACUCCUACGGGAGGCAGCAGUGGGAAUAUUGGACAAUGGGCGCAAGCCUGAUCCAGCAAUGCCGCGUGAGUGAUGAAGGCCGUUAGGGUU
rnacentral:rRNA from 1 species